CUCUCUCAUCCGCUCGUCUCCCAUCUCUGGCUGUAUCUCAUCUCUCUCACACUCUCUGGAUAAGAGCGACGGAGGAGAGCCCGGCGACGGCGGCGAGCUCCGUGAUGGAGGAGAGGGGGCCGCGUCGGAGCUCUGCCCAGCGACGGAGGAGUGGCCAUGGCCCUUCCGGCGAGCUCCGCGAGGCGAGCUCUGUGAUGGAGGGAGGGGGCGGCGUCGGAGCUCUGCCCAGCGACGGAGGAGUGGCCAUGGCCCUUCCGGCGAGCUCCGCGAGGCAGGGGAGGGGGGCGCGUCGGAGGGUAGGGCGACGGAGGGGAGGGGACAGCGACAGGCCGAAGCGGCUGAGGCGACGCCCACGGAGGUCUCCCGUCGAUCUCCGCGACGGAGGGCAGCGCGGGGUGUGGAGGGGACGGUGGAGGCGCCCGGCGUCCACGGAGGUCUUUUAGUUUCACUCAAGCUCUCUUCCACGGUUGGACAUGACCAGCGAGGGGAGGAGCGGUAGCGACGAUUUUUGGGUUUUGGCUACCAUAUCCUGUAAGUAUGUCCUCUCUCGCUGAAGCUUUUCAUGGCUAGCACGCGGUACUGCAUACGUUUUUUCAGUAUUCUUUGCUGCUAUGUUUCUAGGAUCAUAUCACCAUCAAAAUGCAUUCAUAUUCAACAGUUUGAGCUAUGUGAAAUUCCUCCCUGAUCAGCAUGAUACGGCAGAAGUUGUGCCAAUUAUGAGAUGAUCUUCUUAUGAGGUUGAUUACAAACAUCACUCUACUAAUUUUAUGACUCCUAAAAUUGUGAAAAAAUCUUUUAGUUUCACUCAAGCUCUCUUCCACGGUUUAAGUAUGUCCUCUCUAAUGCCUUGAGCUUUGGCAGGGAAUGGAGAUCCUUUUAAGGUUCAGAUUGUUGGACAUUCCUCUGUGAAAUCUGUUAUGUGAAAUCUGUUAUGCGAAUGGAUCUGAAUGGAAUGGUCUUGAGCUUAGCGAGCGCCUAGAUGUCGAUGUAUGACCAAGGGAAGGAAGGCAGAAGAACAGAGGUAAGAAGAGAGCGAGAAGAGGAAAAGAGACAUUGUGCCUAACUGACGUGAUGUGCCGAGGCCGGAGCGGUGGCACACGGUAAGUCGAGAAACAUGUGUGUACAUGCUUGUGGUAGAAAUUCCGAAUUGUACCACAUCAAGCCUGGGUGUGUAUCACCGGAAGGAUUGGUCCUCCUCUUAAAUCAAGAGGAUGUAGAUGAAAUGGUGAGAGCCCAUCAAGAUACAAAAAAGUGUGAUUUGUACAUUAUGGCAAAUCAUCAUUUUCGAGGUGAUGGUUACGAUGAGAGUGACGAGGAUGGUGAUGAUGGGUCGAAUGAUGAAGCCCCUUUUGGUGCCUACCUCGAUGUUGGUCAGAGUGGAAAGGACGAAGAUAGAUCAUCACCAUGAACAAAUAUUAUGUGUGCUUUUCAUUUAAAAUGAUGAAACUCCUUUUGGGUUGAAUUAUAGUGUGCUUACCAUUAACGAAUACCGGUUGUCGUUGAUGAUUAUGUGUUUUUUAAAUUAUGAUAUUUCGGUUCUAGAUUAUAAAUGAAUUAUUUUUGUAAUGUCCGAAAGUCUUUUUGGCUUUCGGUUAGGUGCCACUUUGGCCGUUAGAAGAGCAAAUUUGCUCCUCUAAAGGUUUUUUUGCCUUUGGGUUACAGAUGCUCUUAUGUGAAGAGAAGACUCGAAUAGUCAAUUUAUUUUGCAUGAAAUAGUCAAUUUAUUUCACUA